GGCCCAUCUGCGUUCAGAUAGCAGCACAGACAUCAGCACUGCUCCUUCAAGCAAAGGCUUCAAAGAGCUCGGAAGAGAUGUUGUGGCCUUUACCUGUUGCCCAGAAGAGCCUGGAGGCGGAUGAUAAGCUUCUCCUCCUGAUCGGUGAAGUUGCCACGCUUGAUCCCGGGCCUGAGGUGGUCACAGCAAGGCUCACCAGUGUUGGAAGGGACAGCUCUCCAAUUCCCAGGGCCAUGUUCUUGGAUGUAGGACACCAAGAUGAUGUCCUCUUCUGGUGUCCAAGGCCCCUUCUUCACACCAUUUUUGUCACAGCAUGGUGGUCUUCCCAUCUCUCUCUCCGGCUUUCUUCUUCUCGAGCUAUGAGAACAGAGUAUGAUGCUCUUCUCCUCCAACCUCACAAGGCAAGCUUCCGAGGCUGCUGCUGUUCCCAAGCUCUCCACCGGUACGGUAUAUAUACACACGAGAGACCUGAGGAGGCAAGAAGAGUCAAAGAAGGCAAGCAAGGUGCAUUUACUCGCGGAUAAUCAGCACAGAUCAAGCUGACGUGAAGGUCGAGCUUCUGUUACCGCCGCGUGCCGGCAUUUGAAUCCAGGUUUCGAUGAUAGAGAAAUGCCAGGCUAGGUUGAGUAUCCACUUGAAGUCUCCACCGAUAUCUACACUGGGAUUCUUUAAGACUGUAAGCCAGGGUGAGUUACUCUUUCUUGAAAUCUUGACGAAAGAGCUCAACCGGGGGAGACUGCUGCACAAGUUGCAGGAGCACAAAGUCAACCAACAGGAGUCAAAGGUCCACUAGAUCGCCUUUGCCCACCUCUCUGCAUAGGGCUAUAGUUCCAGGAACUGUGAGCAGAUCAUGCAUGCAGCAACACAUCCAUCCAAAAGCACGAGUCCACGAGAGCUGCACUUUGAUGGCCUGUUGUCUUGUCUUGCAUCAAAACAUUAACUUCUCAUCCACUCCUUCAC